UUUCUACUCCCUCCGUCCGAAAAUACUUGUCAUCAAAAUGGAUAAAAAGAUAUGUAUCUAAAACUAAAAUACGUCUAGAUACAUUUCCUUUUAUCCAUUUUGAUGACAAGUAUUUCCGGACGGAGGUAGUAUUUG
rnacentral:pre_miRNA from 1 species